AUGCCUAUUGCACAUCCAUUCAUCCAUCCACCAAACCAUCCAUCCGAAUCAAUCAUACAUACAUACAUACAUACAUACAUACAUACAUACAUACAUACUAGAGUACAAGGAAGGAAGGGAUUCUUUCUUUUCUUGGUGGCGGGGAUCAGAUCCAUCCGCGGCGCACAACCUAACCACAUGAGAGGAGAAGGAGAUGGAGGUGGAGGGGGGAUCGAUCCUACCGAGGGAAGCGGGGGCUUAUUACCUUACCGACAAGGAAGGAAGGACGGACGGACGGACGGGAAGAUCUCCGGUGCGCUCCGCUCCGCCGCAGUCGACUCCGGUGGGGAUGGGGGUGGAUUCUUUCUUUUCUUUUCUCUCUCACAUCUCACAUCUCACAGGACAAGAGCAGAGGAGAGAUGGGUGGGGAAGGAAGCCAACCGCCUAGUACGAGGCUGA
rnacentral:rRNA from 1 species